GAGUUUACUCCUAGCAGGAAUACCUGACCGAUAAUCAGAUAGAAGAGGUUAAAAUCCUCUUGAACUCU
rnacentral:tRNA from 1 species